rnacentral:rRNA from 1 species
GACUGUCACGUGCUGAUGACGCAGAUACUUCCAGUUGCAAUCCGUGGGAUCAUGGACGCGCACGUCCGUGAAACGGUAUUUGGCCAAUGCAACUUUUUCGGCGUCAUCUCUCGGAAGUCGGUUGGCAUGAGGCAACUCAGAAGGCUACAGGAAGAGAUCGUGGUGAUACUAUGCGAGCUUGAGAUGUACUUCCCGCCCGCAUUCUUCGAUGUUAUGGUGCAUCUGCUGGUCCAUAUCGUGGAGGAUAUCAUCCAACUCGGGCCGACGUUCCUGCACAGCAUGAUGCCGUUCGAAAGGAUGAAUGGUGUCAUCAAAGGAUACGUUCGCAACAUGUCACGUCCAGAGGGAAGCAUAGCUAGGGGCUUUCUAACCGAAGAGUGCAUCUCCUACUGCACGAACUAUCUAGGCAUCGAGAACCCCGUUGGUCUGCCCGUCAACAGGCACCUCGGCAGGCUCGCU